GCUUCCUUCCAGCAGCACAUAAACAAAACUGGAACAAUACAGAGAAGAGUAGCACAGCUCCUGCACAGGGAUUACACACAAGUUUGUGAAGCAUUUCAUAUUUUU